rnacentral:rRNA from 1 species
GUGGGGAAUUUUGCACAAUGGGGGAAACCCUGAUGCAGCGACGCCGCGUGAUUUAGAAGGCCUUCGGGUUGUAAAAAUCUUUUGUAUAGGAAGAAAAUGACAGUACUAUACGAAUAAGGUCCGGCUAAUUACGUGCCAGCAGCCGCGGUAAUACGUAAGGACCGAGCGUUGUCCGGAAUCAUUGGGCGUAAAGGGUACGUAGGCGGCUAGAAAAGUUAGAAGUCAAAGGCUAUAGCUCAACUAUAGUAAGCUUCUAAAACUAUUUAGCUUGAGAAAUGGAAGGGAAAGUGGAAUUCCUAGUGUAGCGGUGGAAUGCGCAGAUAUUAGGAAGAAUACCGGUGGCGAAGGCGACUUUCUGGCCAUUAUCUGACGCUGAGGUACGAAAGCGUGGGUAGCAAACAGGA